rnacentral:misc_RNA from 1 species
AAAGUCGUAACAAGGUUUCCGUAGGUGAACCUGCGGAAGGAUCAUUAACACUCCAAAACUUCUCAUAGCUCUGGGAAACCAGAGUUUAUGAAACCCUAUUCACCAAUACGAACCCGGCAGGUGUGUCUGGCUUUCUGAGUCAGGCCCAUCUUGCUACUCUUUUGUCCAUUUCUUUUUUGACCCAAUAUAACAUUUCUUAUUGUCUGACUGGAAAGGCUUUACUGUCCUUCCGUUGCUCUUGCAGCUAAACCCUGUAAGGCAAUGAAAACUACAAAAACAAAAACAAAAAAACAACUCUUAGCAACGGAUAUCUUGGUUCUC